AUUCCGCCGGAGCAUUUUGCUCCAUUCAUGCGUAUUUUUGACCAAUGAAUCAGGUUCGAAAAUACUCCGAUGAAGUUCAGCUGUUCCUCAAGCAGUGGAAAUAUGGCACUAUGUACUGUACUUGUGGACGGAGGCACAGCUUAAUAGGUAGCUGCAUCGCCCUAUGACGAUGGAUGCCAGACCACUAUUUGACAGUUAAACAGCGGGUUGAACUUUGGGGUGUCCUCAUCACUUGAUAUUUUAGCGCCCCAGGCCACUAUCUGUAUCUUUGAGCACAGGAUAAAUGUUUGAGAGGGGUUUCGGUGUCAACUUCCAUUCCUUGCAUUGUUUCUCCAUGAUUGAUCCUACGUCUAUUUGCCCUACGAUAUGUCUUUUCCAGCCGUCUUCCAUUUAUCCCUUCCAGCGUUGUAAGUACUUAGGAACGAUACGGCCAGCCAUCAGUAACUAAUCAGGCGCUGCCCGUUUUAUUUAGCUGGAUCAGCCUACAGCCAACAUUUUCUGACUCGUGGCAUGACCCACUGGACUAUUUUCCCAGGGAGCCUGGGGUAGUAGAUAAGAAACUUGUUCGCUGUUGAAUGUUUAACUCAACUCUGUUUCCAUUUUUUCCCCCA
rnacentral:sRNA from 1 species